rnacentral:rRNA from 1 species
AUUGAACGCUGGCGGUAUGCUUAACACAUGCAAGUCGAACGGUAGCAGGCCUUCGGGCGCUGACGAGUGGCGGACGGGUGAGUAACGCGUAGGAAUCUGCCUCAUAGUGGGGGACAACGUGGGGAAACUCACGCUAAUACCGCAUACGCUCUUUGUUCCAAGGAAUGGGGAGGAAAGCGGGGGACCUUCGGGCCUCGCGCUAUGAGAUGAGCCUGCGUUAGAUUAGCUAGUUGGUAGGGUAAAGGCCUACCAAGGCGACGAUCUAUAGCUGGUCUGAGAGGACGAUCAGCCACACUGGGACUGAGACACGGCCCAGACUCCUACGGGUGGCUG